AAACAGCAUCGAAGCCGUGGACCCCACUGGCCGAAAGCAGAGAUGGUCUUUCGGCUAUAGGAUUAUUAAUGCUGGCCCAUCUUGCGAGGCCCACUUAUGCGCUUUGCCUGUAUACAUCAGUUCUGCUCUUCGACGGCCCUCUCUCGAAGAAAGGUUCGGCGUGCUCGCGGAUCUCUGUUCGCGGAGUCCCCAACCCCAACCAUGGUCAGCGCAAGCAAAAAAGAAGAAGAAGGAAAAAAAAAAAGGAAACCAACCAUGGCGAUGGGCGAAACUUCAAUGGCGAGCAGCGGCCAUGGCAACCCCGUCGCCCCAUCCGAUGAAUCCAAAAGGUUAGCCGCUCCCCGUCCCACUCUCUUCCCACGAUGGCACAAACAUGGUAGAAUCAGGUGCGGUUCCCUGCCGUGCGUGAUGUGUCCGACGAAAUGCGCUUGAUUAUUUUCCUUCCUGACCCUCAAUACGUGCGAGGUCUCGAGAGUCAAUCACCAGUGAGAAUUACCUUCGAGAAGUUCAUCCGGGGCGAGGGCCAGGGCAUAGUUCAGAUAGUUGUGAUGGUGGUUAACAGGUUAAGGCAUAAACAACCGAACCAAACUGAAAAAUAACUAGAGUUAUGGAAAAAGAAGUGAAGUUUAUGAAACCGACCAGAUAAUGUAUCAGUUACUAAAUUUUAGUAUUUUCAGUUAUAUUUUAAAUGAAAAAAUAAGAAGGCUUGAACUCAACUGAAUUAGACUGCACCAGAAUGGCCUUACGUUAUUUACUCAUCUCUACUGAAGAAAUAUGCUGGAUGAAUUUCCAACAAACUCUAGCCUUAUGCUGGACUGAUCGAUAAAUUCUUCCUGUCUAACCUUUUAUAGUUUCUGAACAGAAUCAGGCUUCCUUAAGAAAAGAAGUCGAUUAACCUGUGCCCUUUAUCAUAUUUGUCAGAUGGCUACACUGUGGCUACCCCCACCCCCAGUUUGACAAACCGUGAUUCAUUUGUUUUAUCACAUCCAUUUGGCAAAUAAACGAUAUGGAUGAUGCUUAUUAUUCUGGUUGAAAUUCCGUAAAUAUAGGUAGCUCGACUAAACCAAAUUUAUGUUUAAGAUGCUAAAUUUGUGAGUGUGUUCUUCUUGGCAGGGGAUCAGGGGAACCAGAGGGGUGUACAACAGUGGUAUCACCAAAUCACAAAUCUUUUGCUUACAUCAGCAAGUGUAUAUAGUUUCAAUAUACUAAAGUUUAGGUCCAGAUUUCUUGAAUCCGUGGUGCUUCAGUUAUAUGAUUAGGGACAAUUCAAUAUUCUAUUAUUCCAAAAAUAAAGUUUUAACAGUGGUAUUGCAGUUUCAACUUGCGCUUGUAUACAGUUUUAUUUUCUAAUCAGACUCAGAGUGGAAAUUUCAUUUUCUUUCUAUUGUAAUAUUGUCAACUUGGGAGUAAGUGCUUCUUUUAUUUGAAUCAGGAUUGGUGUGCCACUCUGCGAAAUCUGCAAACAGAUUAUUUUAUUUGACCGAUAUCAAAUUAUUCAUAUGUUUGGCAUCAAUCAUUCUUGCUUUAUUCCCAAUACCCACAACAGAAACCUUGCAGCAUAUUCUUCUAACUUCAUUCUCGUAACAGAGUUUCACACUUUAUGUGUUUGAGAAUGAUAAUUGAAGAGCAAGAUUGACAUGACGCCCUUGCAUGAAUUUGUCUUUAUCAAGAUCUGACUACCUAUCCACUAAUGGUGGAAUCCGAGAGGGAGGGGAUUGUGACGGGACAUAGGAGUUGAAAGUGGAGGUAGAAACAUGUAUUGCGAACUAACAAGAUUACAUCAAACAAAAGCUAUUAGAAAAAUCCAUAAAUUUGUAGCCAGAAUACGUGAACUAAUAUGAUUACAAUAAUACUCCCUCCGUUUUUAUUUACUCCACAUAUUAGCUUUAUAGAAAAUAAUAUGAACACUUACAAUAAGAAAUAUGAUGUGAAAAUAUAUUCAAUGAUGAAUAUAAUGGUGUUGAUUUGG
rnacentral:lncRNA from 1 species